CACGUGGGUAGCAGGGGUGUGCCGAAUAUCUAUGGCCGAACGAACCCGCCUCAUCACAUGGAGCCCUGAUAGAGAUUCUAAUUGAGUUAUUUCUUAUGGAGUGAAUUUUAUUCAAAUCUGAAAGUGCUGUAUUAAGCUAUUAAAGAACAGCCUUUGUUCAAUGAUCGAUGAAGAAUGAUGGAUAUGUGUCACACAGUCUAAUGGAAGUACAGUUCUUGCAAUUCUUGACGACUUAACACUCACGGCCAUCACUUUAAAGUAACCUCAAGUAAGUACCUUGUUCUUUGCUGGUUAAGUUUGUAGUUUUUGACAACGUCUUAUGUACACACAUUAGGGAAAGUUUUCAGGAAAGCACCUUAGUGUUACGUAAGUUGGGAUGAGAUCAUUU